GUGAGAGAUGACGAAAGAAAUCAUUCGGAUUCCCAUUGAUUUCCUUAGUGAUAUAUGUGAUCACAAACCAGCUACUUCUGAUUCAU
rfam:Brassica napus, WGS project CCCW01000000 data, contig: 20023